rnacentral:snRNA from 1 species
AGCUUUGUAUAGUGGCAGUAUCAUAGCCAAUGAGGUUUAUCUGAGGUGUGACUAUUGCUAAUUAGGGAAAAAAAUAAAAUUCUAGGAGACUGCUGCUCUAAAGGAUGUCUUGGCACUGCCAGAUGGAA